rnacentral:rRNA from 1 species
AUGUCAGACCAAAGUGAUAGCCAGAACUUGUCAGAGCAGCAAGUGCAGAUGAGUGAGGGCACUAGUCCCUCAAGUUCCUCAGAUGAUGGCAGCAGGAGCACCCCUAGCAAUCUGCCUAAAGCUGCCACAAGACAGAGAAAGAAGAGAACCUCAGACUCGGAAGAUGAGGAUUAUGUGGCAGAAGAGGAAGCAACUUCCAAGAGAGUUGAGCCAGCACAGGGCAUAAAACCAGGGAUGAAGAUCAAAAGGCCAGCAGGCAGGCAGCCUAUGUCAAAGGCCAGAGCUUCAACUGAGAAGCCCACUCCCAUUGAGCCAGUUGCUGCUGAAGGCAAGAAGAGGAAAGAAAGGGUGAAGAAAACUGUAGCCAGAGUGCUUGGCAAGGCUUCCAUCAUGGAAGAUGAGGAGGAAGAAGAAGAGGUAGCUGCACCAGCACCUAAGGCACCCAAGCUGAUGGGUGAUGCCAUAAGAACAGGGGCAGCUGCUUCCAAGGCCAAGCCAUCUCCAAAGCCAAAGCCAAAGAGGAACACAAGAAGCAUCCUAGCUACUGAGAAGAACAAGGCCCCAGUGCCUGAAGCUGCAGAAGAAGAAGAAGAGAAUGUUCUUAGAAAGCUCAAGCCCAAGAUCCCAGACCACAACGAUGCUCAUCCUGUGGCUGAGGAUAUGAAACUCAGGAGAGAUUCAGGGCUCCGGAAGUGGAGAGAAGCAGACCCGUAUGCUUCAAGGAGAAGGACUGCAGUUGACUACAGGUUUCACACCAAGGAGUAG